GUAAGCAUAUAAAUGUACUGGAGAGGCGAUGAGGGAAAUUAGGACACGAAUAGCGUAUUUAAAGAGAAAAAUUCGCAACGAAAAACAUAUUCCUCCACUCGUUUGAUUUGCAGUUCCUGACAGAAUGGAAAGUUCAGCUUCGACGAGCAAUGAAUAUAAAAAACAACGAAAUGUUGUUCCACGUCGAUUAUUCGACCCCGAAUUUCUUACAUCAUGUAAAAGAAAGAAUCUCACUACGAAAGAACUAAUCAAUAUAUUUGCCAAUGGAUUUUAUCCACUCCAGUGAAAAACAGGCUACACACAAUAUGUUUUUUUAAUAAUUUUUUUGUAUGUAUAUUUUUGAAUGCUAUGUUUUUUCAUGUUAUUUUAUGUUAUUCAUAUUCUGUUAUUAUGUAUUUUGAUUUGUAUAGUUACUUUUUUCAUGUAAACUAGUUUUUACGAUA
rnacentral:misc_RNA from 1 species